AUAACACUCCCCUUGAUGACCAU
rnacentral:siRNA from 1 species